rnacentral:lncRNA from 1 species
GAUUUUUUUUAUUUUUUUUUAACGAUAACAAAUAUUUUAUUCAAUCAUUUCCUGCUAUAUAAAUACCUUAAGUAGCCCAGGUCGCAUACUUAGGGGCCCCUGUAUUUUAACAGCCUCACUUGACCAGGGAAAAUAUCAAAUGAGUUUAUACAAUAGUUUUACAUACAUAAUUAUAUUUAAAUAACCAAUACAAUUGAUUUUCACACCUGAUCAGCAUCACUGUAUAAAAUCACUAUCGUAUAUCCGGUUCACUGAACAAACAUGUGUUGAUUUAAACUGGAAAGACUUUAAAAUUUGAUUGCAAAAAUAAGUUUAUAGUUUGACUUGAAGAAUUUUGAUGUGAUUGAACAGAAUUUGAAAGUAUUCUUUAAUAUAUAUUUAUGGAUUAUAAAAAAAGGAUAAAGCACAUGUGGUGAGUACAAAUGUAUUACGAAGCAUAAUAUAUGUGGUAAUUUACUAAUGUAACUAAUAUGCACAGACAUAGAUUUAAA